rnacentral:rRNA from 2 species
UACGAACCGUCCAAACGUUAUUCGGAUUCAUUGGGCUUAAAGGGUACGUAGGCGGCCCUGUUAGUCGGGUGUGAAAUCCCUCGGCUCAACCGAGGAACUGCGCCCGAUACUGCAGGGCUUGAGGGAGACAGAGGUAAGCGGAACUGAUGGUGGAGCGGUGAAAUGCGUUGAUAUCAUCAGGAACACCAGUGGCGAAAGCGGCUUACUGGGUCUCUUCUGACGCUGAGGUACGAAAGCUAGGGGAGCGAACGGG